AGUUUGCACUCAUCGGGUAAGGGUGAGAACCUUCGACUAAGGUUCGAUUCGAGCGAAAGCGAGAGAACGUUGCCACAGGCAACGGCCCGAAGGGUGAGGAGCGAAGCGACGAAUAAUCCUUCCCCCACCACCA
rnacentral:sRNA from 1 species